CUCUUUCGUACUCUUUCUCUCUUUUAAUCCAUUGUACGCACAAUGGAAGAAGUCAAAAACUCAGGGGAAACUGCCGCCACAUGGCCUUCAAGCAGAAGCAUGGUAUGCCCCCUCGGUGCCGUCGUCCGGGAACCUGCGGAGAGCAUGGUGCAUCCACCGUUUACCUCGAGCAGAUCUGGAGCAGCGAGCAGAUCCGGUGACACUGUUCACUCGUCUUCCACAGGUAUGCCAUAGUUUGAGCUGAGAGCGCGAUAGAGCUAGUCUCCCUUUGCUAUGCUUAGACUAGUUUUUGUAUUAGACUUACGGGCCUGUGAGCUUUAGAGAUAGAUUAUGUAUUGACAUUUACCUUUGCCUUUACCUUUUUGGAUUGAUGUUUAUGGAUUUUAGCCUGUGCACCUAGGAUGGAUUGUACCUAGGUGUUGCAUGACACCCUUAAGGUUUUAUAUAUGCUUCCGCUAUGUUUAUGAUUA